rnacentral:rRNA from 1 species
CACCGCGGUUAUACGAGAGACCCAAAUUGACAGUGCCCGGCAUAAAGUGUGGUUAAGAACUUAAAUAAAUAAGGCCGAACUCUUACAAAGCUGUUAUACGCAACCGAAAGAAAGAAGAUCAAUAACGAAAGUAGCCUUACUUAAUCCGAAUCCACGAAAGCCAGGAAA